AGUGAACGCUGGCGGUAGGCCUAACACAUGCAAGUCGAACGGCAGCACAGUAAGAGCUUGCUCUUACGGGUGGCGAGUGGCGGACGGGUGAGGAAUACAUCGGAAUCUACUUUUUCGUGGGGGAUAACGUAGGGAAACUUACGCUAAUACCGCAUACGACCUACGGGUGAAAGCAGGGGAUCUUCGGACCUUGCGCGAUUGAAUGAGCCGAUGUCGGAUUAGCUAGUUGGCGGGGUAAAGGCCCACCAAGGCGACGAUCCGUAGCUGGUCUGAGAGGAUGAUCAGACACACUGGAACUGAGACACGGUCCAGACUCCUACGGGAGGCAGCAGUGGGGAAUAUUGGACAAUGGGCGCAAGCCUGAUCCAGCCAUACCGCGUGAGUGAAGAAGGACUUCGGGUUGUAAAGCCCUUUUGUUGGGAAAGAAAAGCAGCAGGUUAAUACCCCGCUGUUCUGACGGUACCCAAAGAAUAAGCACCGGCUAACUUCGUG
rnacentral:rRNA from 1 species